UACGUAGGGUGCAAGCGUUAAUCGGAAUUACUGGGCGUAAAGCGCGCGUAGACGGUUUUGUAAGUCAGAUGUGAAAUCCCUGGGCUCAACCUGGGAACUGCAUUUGAGACUGCAUGGCUAGAGUAUCGAAGAGGGAAGUGGAAUUUCCGGUGUAGCGGUGAAAUGCGUAGAUAUCGGAAGGAACACCAGUGGCGAAAGCGACUUCCUGGUCGAAUACUGACGUUCAUGUGCGAAAGCGUGGGGAGCAAACAGG
rnacentral:rRNA from 1 species